CAACUCACCUGCCGAAGCAACUAGCCCUGAAAAUGGAUGGCGCUCUAGCGUCGUGCCUAUACCGGGCCGUCAACGGCAAAGUGGGCUAGUGUUCCGCCGGUUCACGCCGGCGGACUUGGCCGUUAAGCCUUGACGAGUAGGAGGCGCGCGGCGGUGUGCGCAGAAGGGUCUGGGCGCGAGCCUGCCUGGAGCCGCCGUCGGUGCAGAUCUUGGUGGUAGUAGCAAAUACUCUAGCGAGGGCCUGGAGGGCUGAUGUGGAGAAGGGUUUCUUGUGAACAGCCGUUGCACAAGAGUCAGUCGACCCUAAGCCCUAGGAGAAAUCCGAUGUUGAUGGGCAGCGAUCACGCGGCUAGUACGGUCGGUUGGUGCGAUGCCCGUUGCAAGUUCGGGCGUUCGCCUCCGACAGGCGGCCUGCCGACUGCUCCCGUCGGGCGAAAGGGAAUCCGGUUCCUAUUCCGGAACCCGGCUGCGGAACCGUCACUUCGCGGGCACUCGCCUGCGAGCGCUCGUCGGGGUAACCCAAAAUGACCCGGAGACGCCGGCGGGAGGUCUGGAAAGAGUUGUCUUUUCUUUAUAAGCGUUCGAGUUCCCUGGAAUCCUAUAGCAGGGAGAUAGGGUUUGGAACGCGAAGAGCACCGCAGUUGCGGCGGUGUCCGGACCUUCCCCCCGGACCUUGAAAAUCCGGGUGAGGGCUACGCGGAAAUGUCGCGCCGGCUCGUACCCAUAUCCGCAGCAGGUCUCCAAGGUUAAGAGCCUCUAGUCGAUAGAAUAAUGUAGGUAAGGGGAAGUCGG
rnacentral:rRNA from 1 species